AUCGCUUCUCGGCCUUUUGGCUAAGAUCAAGUGUAGGAGAUUAUGUAACAUGGCCAAGUAAUACAGUUUUUGAUUAUUGGAAAUGGGAUGCAAACCCAUAUAGUUUGAUCUUGAAAUCUACACUCUUAAAACCACUAUACCUACU
rnacentral:snRNA from 2 species